rnacentral:rRNA from 1 species
GCAAGUCGAGGGGUAACAUAGAGAAGCUUGCUUUUCUGAUGACGACCGGCGCACGGGUGCGUAACGCGUAUGCAACCUACCUCUUACUGGGGGAUAGCCCGAAGAAAUUCGGAUUAACACCCCAUAGUAUUAUUCUUUCGCAUGUUAGAAUAAUUAAAGGUUACGGCAGAAGAUGAGUAUGCGUCCUAUUAGCUAGAUGGAGUGGUAACGGCACCCCAUGGCAACGAUAGGUAGGGGCCCUGAGAGGGGGAUC